rnacentral:lncRNA from 1 species
GGCUUAGGUUAGUUAAUCACAACUGUUGUUAUCAUAUUUUGACUUGAUCUUUUUUUUUUUUUUGUAAGCUUAAAAGUCUCCACUCCAUGUGACAGCAAAAUAGUUCUUAGUUUCAAAUCCAGCAAGCAAGAAGAGUGAUUGUUUCCCUCACAAACACCUCAGAAGAAAACUCUAAGAAAUCACACUCAGUUGGUUUAAUGGUAGAGUUAAAGGCCAAGUCUGCCAUGUAGUAAGUAGUACAUGAAGCCAGGAGGAAGGAUCCAGGACAAACCAUGACAGAAUACCACACAUUUUGGAGAUGCAUGCUUUCUC